rnacentral:rRNA from 1 species
GUCGGAUUAGCUNGUUGGUGGGGUAAUGGCCUACCAAGGCGACGAUCCGUAGCUGGUCUGAGAGGAUGAUCAGCCACACUGGGACUGAGACACGGCCCAGACUCCUACGGGAGGCAGCAGUGGGGAAUAUUGGACAAUGGGGGAAACCCUGAUCCAGCAAUGCCGCGUGUGUGAAGAAGGCCUUCGGGUUGUAAAGCACUUUCGGUGGGGAAGAAAUUCUCAAGGGNNNNNNNNNNNNNNNUUGACGUUACCCACAGAAGAAGCACUGGCUAACUCUGUGCCAGCAGCCGCGGUAAUACAGAGAGUGCAAGCGUUAAUCGGAAUCACUGGGCGUAAAGCGCGCGUAGGUGGAUNUUUAAGUCGGAUGUGAAAGCCCUGGGCUUAACCUGGGAAUUGCANNNNNNNNNNNNNNNNNNGAGUAUGGUAGAGGGAAGUGGAAUUUCCGGUGUAGCGGUGAAAUGCGUAGAUAUCGGAAAGAACACCAGUGGCGAAGGCGACUUCCUGGACCAAUACUGACACUGAGGCGCGAAAGCGUGGGGAGCAAACAGGAUUAGAGACCCUGGUAGUCCACGCCGUCAACGAUGAGAACUAGCUGUUGGGANNNNNNCUUCUUAGUAGCGAAGCUAACGCGUUAAGUUCUCCGCCUGGGGAGUACGGCCGCAAGGUUAAAACUCAAAGAAAUUGACGGGGGCCCGCACAAGCGGUGGAGCAUGUGGUUUAAUUCGAUGCAACGCGAAAAACCUUACCUACCCUUGACAUCCUCGGAACUUGUCAGAGAUGAUUUGGUGCCUUCGGGAACCGAGUGACAGGUGCUGCAUGGCUGUCGUCAGCUCGUGUCGUGAGAUGUUGGGUUAAGUCCCGUAACGAGCGCAACCCUCGUCCUUAGUUGCCAGCGAGUCAAGUCGGGAACUCUAAGGAGACUGCCGGUGAUAAACCGGAGGAAGGUGGGGAUGAUGUCAAGUCAUCAUGGCCCUUACGGGUAGGGCUACACACGUGCUACAAUGGGCAGUACAAAGGGUUGCCAAGCCGCGAGGUGGAGCUAAUCCCAGAAAACUGCUCGUAGUCCGGAUUGGAGUCUGCAACUCGACUCCAUGAAGUUGGAAUCGCUAGUAAUCGCGAAUCAGCAUGUCGCGGUGAAUACGUUCUCGGGCCUUGUACACACCGCCCGUCACACCAUGGGAGUGANUUGUACCAGAAGCNNNNAGGCUAACCUUCGGGAGGCCG